GUGAAUCAUCGAAUCUUUGAACGCACCUUGCGCUCCUUGGUAUUCCGAGGAGCAUGCCUGUUUGAGUGUCAUUAAUAUAUCAACCUCCUCAGGUUUUACUUGUUGAGUGUUUGGAUGUGGGGGUAUUUUUUGCUGGUCUCUCUUUGAGGUCGGCUCCCCUAAAAUGCAUUAGCGGAACAAUCUGUUGACCGUUCAUUGGUGUGAUAACUAUCUACGCUAUUAACGUGAAGCAGGUUCAGCUUCUAAUAGUCCAUUGACUUGGACAAAUUUUCAUUAAUGUGACCUCAAAUCAGGUAGGACUACCCGCUGAACUUAAGCAUAUCAAUAAGCGGAGG
rnacentral:rRNA from 2 species